CCUACGGGCGGCAGCAGUGGGGAAUAUUGGGCAAUGGGCGCAAGCCUGACCCAGCAACGCCGCGUGCAGGAAGACGGCUCUCGGGGUGUAAACUUCUUUUGACAGGGAAGAGUAGAAGAGGGUGCCUGUCGAGUAAGCCACGGCUAACUACGUGACAGCAGCCGCAGUAAUACGGAGGUUGCAAGCGUUGUCCGGAUUUACUGGGUGUAAAGGGCGUGUAGCCGGGUUGACAAGUCAGUUGGGAAAGCCUGCGGCUUAACCGUAGAACUGCAGUUGAAACUGUUGAUCUUGAGUACUGGAGGGGCAGACGGAAUUCCUGGUGUAGCGGUGAAAUGCGUAGAUAUUAGGAGGAACACCAGUGGCGAAGGCGGUCUGCUGGACAGCAACUGACGGUGAGGCGCGAAAGCGUGGGGAGCAAACAGGAUUAGAUACCCCAGUAGUC
rnacentral:rRNA from 1 species